AAGCAACGCGAAGAACCUUACCAGGUCUUGACAUCUUUUGACAACCCUAGAGAUAGGGCUUUCCCUUCGGGGACAGAGUGACAGGUGGUGCAUGGUUGUCGUCAGCUCGUGUCGUGAGAUGUUGGGUUAAGUCCCGCAACGAGCGCAACCCUUGAUCUUAGUUGCCAGCAUUCAGUUGGGCACUUUAAGGUGACUGCCGGUGACAAACCGGAGGAAGGUGGGGAGGACGUCAAAUCAUCAUGCCCCUUAUGACCUGGGCUACACACGUGCUACAAUGGACAGAACAAAGGGCUGCGAGACCGCAAGGUUUAGCCAAUCCCACAAAUCUGUUCUCAGUUCGGAUCGCAGUCUGCAACUCGACUGCGUGAAGCUGGAAUCGCUAGUAAUCGCGGAUCAGCAUGCCGCGGUGAAUACGUUCCCGGGCCUUGUACACACCGCCCGUCACACCACGAGAGUUUGCAACACCCGAAGUCGGUGAGGUAACCUUUAU
rnacentral:rRNA from 1 species